rnacentral:lncRNA from 1 species
CAGGCCCACGCUUGCUGGAAACAGUAUUCAGUGCCCCUGGGUCCUCAGGUACAACAGCAAAGAAACGGUGUUCAGAAAGGUGCCCCACACCCUGCUUGACUGCAGAGCAUAUGGACCAGGCUGGUGAAUUCCCCCUUGCCAUGACUCUGUAAGUGAAGAGCUGCCCUACAAAGUGAAAGAAUUAACCUUCAAAGAGCAGGCUGUGUGGUUUCCUUCUGUUUCUCAUGCUUGACAUUCUCUGGCUGCCCCAGGAACCUGAUGCAAUCCCUUGCAUUUCCCUGCCAGGCCCAUAUGCAAUGAUGUUCACUCAUCCUGAUUUCUUUUCUUCGCUAGCCUACCGAGGGGCACUCGCAGUCUGGCCUGGUGUCUACCCCCAGGAUUAGCUUCAUCAACCUCAAAUUUUUACAUCUGCCAGUGACUUUUUGGGACUUUGGCUAAUGGACUGUAUGACGGUCAGUACAAGACAAGAUUCUCAAAUGAGAGUCAUUACCUGAGGAUAUAUAUUAACUACACCCAAGAGGCACACCGGGCCUCAUCAGCAUUCUCCAGGCUGACAUCCUCACUGCUGAGAUGCAAGGUUUAGAAAAAGGAGUGGAGAAGGAAGAUGUCAACUAUUGAGCACCUACUGUAUGGAAGCACCGUGCUAGGUAUUUGCACAUACAUUGCCAUAUUAAAAAAUAAACUUAGCAAAAACCUGAAACCAGAAAAGGAAACAGAGGCUGUGUGUGAAACACUCGCCUUGGAUAUGGAUAUCAUUGACUCCUCCAAGAAUAGUAACGCAUAGAAUGUUCUCUGAAAACAUUACUGACCUUUGAUUGUUGAUACUCCCUCUAAACCUUAAGCUCUGGAGAACUGAAGAUUGGCCCUAACAGUGAGCAGUAAAACCAGGGAAGGACACUGGUAUGAAUCCUCUGAGAAUCAUGCCAUCCUCACUGUUAGAGUUCACUGGCGAAUCUCAACGCUCCACCAAAAUACAACUGUAUCAAGGAUCAUCCUUUGGUAUCACCUUAAUUGGUUUGUUUCCCUUCUGACCAAACAUGUUUCCAUGAGGAAAAAGAAAAUCAUGGGAACCUCCAUUUGAUCUAAAAGAGAAGAAACAAAAUUUGAGGUUGCACAAAUAGAAACUCACAGCAUAGAAGUUUCUAUAGGCUCUCCCUAGCCAAAGUUAGACUGUUGACGGCUGCUGUGAGACCUCAGUUCUUGUCUUCUUAGCUUAAAAUAAUUUAAACAAGAGACACACAGCAAAGGAGAUAGAGUGUGGAACAAUUUGCUGCAAAGGAAAAAAAAUAUUUUGAAAUUUAGGCGCAG